rnacentral:rRNA from 1 species
UACGUAGGGUGCGAGCGUUGUCCGGAAUCACUGGGCGUAAAGGGCGCGUAGGCGGCCUGAUAAGUAGGGGGUGAAAUCCUGCGGCUUAACCGCAGGGCUGCCUUCUAAACUGUCGGGCUAGAGCACGGUAGAGGCAGAUGGAAUUCCCGGUGUAGCGGUGGAAUGCGUAGAGAUCGGGAAGAACAUCAGUGGCGAAGGCGGUCUGCUGGGCCGUUGCUGACGCUGAGGC